GAGUUUGAUCGUGGCUCAGGAUGAACGCUAGCGGCAGGCCUAACACAUGCAAGUCGAGGGGUAGAAGGAGCUUGCUCCUUUGAGACCGGCGCACGGGUGCGUAACGCGUAUGCAAUCUGCCUUGUACUGAGGGAUAGCCCAGAGAAAUUUGGAUUAAUACCUCAUAGUAUAUAACCUUCGCAUGUUGGUUAUAUUAAAGUUCCAGCGGUACAAGAUGAGCAUGCGUCCCAUUAGUUAGUUGGUAAGGUAACGGCUUACCAAGACGAUGAUGGGUAGGGGUCCUGAGAGGGAGAUCCCCCACACUGGUACUGAGACACGGACCAGACUCCUACGGGAGGCAGCAGUGAGGAAUAUUGGUCAAUGGGCGCAAGCCUGAACCAGCCAUGCCGCGUGCAGGAUGAAGCAUCUAUGGUGUGUAAACUGCUUUUAUACGGGAAGAAACACUCCUACGUGUAGGAACUUGACGGUACCGUAAGAAUAAGGAUCGGCUAACUCCGUGCCAGCCGCCGCC
rnacentral:rRNA from 1 species